rnacentral:rRNA from 1 species
CCUACGGGAGGCAGCAGUAAGGAAUCUUCCACAAUGGACGAAAGUCUGAUGGAGCAACGCCGCGUGCAGGAUGAAGGCUUUCGGGUCGUAAACUGCUUUUAUAUGGGAAGAUUAUGACGGUACCAUAUGAAUAAGGACCGGCUAACUACGUGCCAGCAGCCGCGGUAAUACGUAGGGUCCAAGCGAUGUCCGGAAUUACUGGGCGUAAAGCGUGUGUAGGUGGAUUAAUAAGUGUGAUGCGAAAUCCGGCGGCUCAACCGUUUGGACUGUGUCGCAUACUGUUAGUCUAGAGGACGGCAGAGGUAAGUGGAAUUACGGGUGUAGCAGUGAAAUGCGUAGAUAUCCGUAGGAACACCAAUGGCGAAGGCAGCUUACUGGGCCACACCUGACACUGAGACACGAAAGCGUGGGGAGCGAACAGGAUUAGAUACCCUGGUAGUCCACGCCGUAAACGAUGCAUACUAUUAGUAUGGGGUAUCGACCCCCUGUGCUGAGAAGCUAACGCGAUAAGUAUGCCGCCUGGGGAGUACGAGCGCAAGCUUAAAACUCAAAGGAAUUGACGG